CAGUAGCCACGGGAAUACGAAGGGUGCAAGCGUUACUCGGAAUUACUGGGCGUAAAGCGUGCGUAGGUGGUGGUUUAAGUCCGUUGUGAAAGCCCUGGGCUCAACCUGGGAAUUGCAGUGGAUACUGGGUCACUAGAGUGUGGUAGAGGAUAGUGGAAUUUCCGGUGUAGCAGUGAAAUGCGUAGAGAUCGGGAGGAACAUCAGUGGCGAAGGCGGCCAUCUGGGACAACACUGACACUGAGGCACGAAAGCGUGGGGAGCAAACAGGAUUAGAUACCCGUGUAGUCCCUGUCUCUUAUAA
rnacentral:rRNA from 1 species